rnacentral:lncRNA from 1 species
GUGUGACCUCAAGGCUGGGGCACAUUAGCCCUACCACCACACCCAGCUAUUUUUCUGUCUUCUUGUCUGAUGUUUUCUCACCCCAAGCCAGCACCACUGCCCUGCCAACUGCCAGGGUAUCCUCAGAUUCUAGGAGCACUGCCUAUUAUUAUUAUUUUUAAUUAUUCUUAUUUUUUGAGACUGGGUCUCACUCUGUUGCCCAGACUGGAGUGCAGUGGUGUGAUCUUGGCUCACUGUAAUCUCUGCCUCCUCAAGCAAUCCUCCUGCCUCAGCCUACCAAGUAGUUGGGACUGCAGGUGCACACCACAAUCCCUAGCUAAUUUUUGUAUAUUUUGUAGACAUGGAGUUUUGCCAUGUUGUCCAGGCUGGUCUUGAACUAUUAGACUCAAGCAAUCCUCCCACCUUGGCCUCUCAAAGUGCUUGGAUUACAGGCAUGAGCCACCACACCCGGCCCCUGAUUAGACUUGAAAAUAGUCUGAUUCCUAGGCCCAGAGAAAGUCUCUUGGGUCCACUUUUCCCUUCCCUGUUUGCAAGAACUCUGCCAUGGGGCUGGCCAGGUUUACUGCUGUUGGGCUGACAUGAUAAACCCACCAAAAGGGUGGCUCCUUUUUUGGAGAUCAGAAACUAGGCUGGUGGUUGCCCAGAGAGUGCUUUGAAGCAUCAUAGAGGAGAGGAAAUGCAUGGAAUGAUUGUGGGAAGACAGGGAGAAGGAACCAUAGGACCCCUUUUCUAAGUCUCAGGCAUUUCCUCCUCAUGGAAGAUGUGAGUUGACUGUAAAAUACAAGGAGGAAGGCUUCCAUGAUAAAGCAUGGUGUUCAGAGGAGCCCUGCAGAGUCAGGAAGGAGGGAAAGACAGAGGCUGGUCCACACGGUGCCCCAACUCUCAUUCUGGACCCCAAUUCAUCCAUUGACAUUGCAGGGAGAACGUGUGCAGUGGGCUGAAUGAUGACCCUAAAAACCUGCGAACGUGACCUUAUUUGGAAACGGGGUCUUUGCAGAUGUAAUUAAAGAUUUUGAGAUGAAGUGGUCAUCCUGAUUAUCCAAGUGAGCCUGAAAUCCAAUGACACAUGUCCUGAUAAAGGACACACAGAGGAAAAGACAGAAACAUGGAUGAAAAGGCAAAGUGAAGACAGAGCAAAGCCGUCCAAGCCAAGGAAUGCUGAUGGCACUAGAAGCUGGAAGAGGCAAGAAAGGAGCCUCUCCUAGGGCCUUCAGAGGGAGCGUGGCCCUGCUGACACUGCCGACACCUGGAUUUCGACUUCUGGCCUCCAGAACUGAAGGACCAUGUAAGAACAUAGCAAGAAGGCAGCCAUCUGCAGACCAGGAAGAGAGACCCCACCACAACCCAACCAUACCAGCACCCUGAUCUUGGGUUUCCAUAACUAUGAAAAAAUAAACUUCUGUUGUUUAAGCU